rnacentral:rRNA from 1 species
GUGAAUAGGCCCAGGCGACUGUUUAGCAAAAACACAGGUCUCUGCAAAACCGUAAGGUGACGUAUAGGGGCUGACGCCUGCCCGGUGCUGGAAGGUUAAGAGGAGUGCUUAGCUUCGGCGAAGGUACGAAUUGAAGCCCCAGUAAACGGCGGCCGUAACUAUAACGGUCCUAAGGUAGCGAAAUUCCUUGUCGGGUAAGUUCCGACCCGCACGAAAGGCGCAACGAUCUGGGCACUGUCUCAACGAGAGACUCGGUGCAAUUAUAGUACCUGUGAAGAUGCAGGUUACCCGCGACAGGACGGAAAGACCCCGUGGAGCUUUACUGCAACCUGAUAUGGAAUGUUUGUACCGCUUGUACAGGAUAGGUAGGAGCCGAAGAGACGUGUGCGCUAGCAUACGAGGAGGCAAUGGUGGGAUACUACCCUGGCUGUAUGACCAUUCUAACCCGCCACGCUUAG